rnacentral:rRNA from 2 species
UUUAAAUUGAGAGUUUGAUCCUGGCUCAGGACGAACGCUGGCGGCGUGCCUAACACA